CCAACAGGGAUUGCCUCAGUAACGGCGAGUGAAGCGGCAACAGCUCAAAUUUGAAAUCUGGCCCCCCGGCCCGAGUUGUAAUUUGCAGAGGAUGCUUCUGGCGCGGUGCCUUCCAAGUCCCCUGGAACGGGGCGCCAUAGAGGGUGAGAGCCCCGUCUGGUCGGCCACCAAGCCUGUGUGAAGCUCCUUCGACGAGUCGAGUAGUUUGGGAAUGCUGCUCUAAAUGGGAGGUAGACCCCUUCUAAAGCUAAAUAUUGGCCAGAGACCGAUAGCGCACAAGUAGAGUGAUCGAAAGAUGAAAAGCACUUUGAAAAGAGGGUUAAACAGUACGUGAAAUUGUUGAAAGGGAAGCGCUUGUGACCAGACGUGCGCCGGGGUGUUCAGCGGGCGUUCUCGCCCGUGCACUCGCCCCGGCGCAGGCCAGCGUCGGUUUGGGCGGGGGGAUAAAGGCGCCGGGAACGUAGCUCCUCCGGGAGUGUUAUAGCCCGGCGUGUCAUGCUCCCGCCCGGACCGAGGUUCGCGCUCCGCAAGGACGCUGGCGUAAUGGUCCCCAGCGGCCCGUCUUGAAACACGGACCAAGGAGUCGAGGUUUUACGCGAGUGUUUGGGUGUCAAACCCGCACGCGUAAUGAAAGUGAACGCAGGUGGGAGCUUCGGCGCACCACCGACCGAUCCUGAUGUUCUCGGAUGGAUUUGAGUAGGAGCGUAGGGCCUCGGACCCGAAAGAUGGUGAACUAUACGUGGAUAGGGUGAAGCCAGAGGAAACUCUGGUGGAGGCUCGCAGCGGUUCUGACGUGCAAAUCGAUCGUCAAAUCUGCGUAUGGGGGCGAAAGACUAAUCGAACCAU
rnacentral:rRNA from 1 species